AAGGAGCAAUCCGCUUUGAGAUGGCCUCGCGUCCGAUUAGCUAGUUGGUGAGGUAAUGGCCCACCAAGGCGACGAUCGGUAGCCGGACUGAGAGGUUGAACGGCCACAUUGGGACUGAGACACGGCCCAGACUCCUACGGGAGGCAGCAGUGGGGAAUAUUGCACAAUGGGGGAAACCCUGAUGCAGCGACGCCGCGUGGAGGAAGAAGGUCUUCGGAUUGUAAACUCCUGUUGUUGAGGAAGAUAAUGACGGUACUCAACAAGGAAGUGACGGCUAACUACGUGCCAGCAGCCGCGGUAAAACGUAGGUCACAAGCGUUGUCCGGAAUUACUGGGUGUAAAGGGAGCGCAGGCGGGAAGACAAGUUGGAAGUGAAAUCUAUGGGCUCAACCCAUAAACUGCUUUCAAAACUGUUUUUCUUGAGUAGUGCAGAGGUAGGCGGAAUUCCCGGUGUAGCGGUGGAAUGCGUAGAUAUCGGGAGGAACACCAGUGGCGAAGGCGGCCUACUGGGCACCAACUGACGCUGAGGCUCGAAAGUGUGGGUAGCAAACAGGAUUAGAUACCCUGGUAGUCCGCACCGUAAACGAUGAUUACUAGGUGUUGGAGGAUUGACCCCUUCAGUGCCGCAGUUAACACAAUAAGUAAUCCACCUGGGGAGUACGACCGCAAGGUUGAAACUCAAAGGAAUUGACGGGG
rnacentral:rRNA from 1 species